CAUCAGCUGGGUGGAGAGAUAAGCAUUAAAUUGAAUACUCUUGUACUCUACGCAAGAUAAUUUUGCAACACAUCUCAUUCUACAAUGGGAAUCAACGCUCUUAGCAAAAAUGACCCAUCAUCAUUUUCCAACACGGAGGAAGUGGUAAUACGUCAUGCCCAUAUUUCUUGGCUGGUAGAUUUCAAGAAGCAAACAUUGGCAGGUUCAGUCAGACUAACCUUUGAAAAGGUCAUUGAUUCUGUGAGCAAAGUGGUGCUGGAUAUAAAAGAUAUUGAUGUAAAAAAGGUUACUUUUGAUGAACAGACUCUAGAAUUUCAAAAGAGUCCAACUGUACGAACAUUUGGGGAAAGUUUGACCAUCAGCCUGCCUAAAAAUGUCCCGAAGACUUUUAAUGUGAUUAUCCAGUAUGAAUCAUCACCAAAAGCUCAGGCCUUGCAGUGGCUUUCCCCGGAGCAGACGGCUGGAAAGACUCACCCUUACAUGUUCAGUCAGUGCCAGUCCAUCCACUGCAGAACCAUCAUGCCUUGCCAAGACACACCGUACGUCAAGUUUACCUAUUCUGCAGAAGUGGACGCCGACGCCGAACUGACUGUUUUGCUCAGCGGGGUGAGCACCGGCACACCUGAAGAUAUCCCUGGACGAACAACCCUGAGGAGACACAAGUUUGAACAAAAAGUCACGAUUCCGUCUUAUUUGUUGGCCAUUGUAGUCGCAAAAAUUUCCUUCCGCACCAUCAGUCCGCGGGUCAACGUCUGGGCCGAGGAGCAGAUUGUCGAAGCUGCAGCUUGGGAAUUUGGACAAGCUGAGGAACAAUUGAAAAUUGCAGAGGAGAUUUGUGGUCCUUAUGAGUGGGGUCGGUACGACUUGCUGAUUCUGCCUCCGAGCUUUGGUUAUGGAGGAAUGGAGAACCCUUGCAUCAACUUUAUAACCCCUACUUGUGUUGUUGGUGACCGCACCCAUGCAGUCGCUGCAAUUGCCCAUGAGGCUUCUCACUCGUGGACUGGCAACUCGGUUGGAAUAAAAAACUACGAACACUUCUGGCUAAACGAAGGUUGGACCAUGUUUGUGCAAAGGAAGAUUGAGUCAAAAUUGUUUGGUGAGAAGUACAGACACUUCUCUGCCAUCCUCGGUCUACAUGAAAUGAGAAAUGUUGUAAAUGACAGUAAGCAUCCAGAAAUUGAAACCAACCUUGUCAAGAACUUAGCUGGUAUUGACCCUGAGGAUGUUUACAAUAAUGUCCCCUACGAAAAAGGUCACACUCUCCUUUUCUACUUGGAGACCUUACUUGGCGGUCCUGAAAUGUUUGAUCCUUUUGUGAAGAGCUACUGUCAGCACUUCAAGGGUAAAGCAAUUACGACUGACGAUUUUAAGGCAUACCUGUAUAAAUCCUUUGCCAGCAAAAAGGAUGUGCUGGACUCCGUCGACUGGCAAACCUGGUUCUUUGGACUCGGCAUGCCUCCAGUAAUUCCAGAUUACGACAAAACCUUGUCGGAACAAUGCACUAUACUUGUGCAGAAGUGGCUGAAGUGCCCUGAAGCUGAAAUCGACACCCUUAAAUCUAGCCCUGGUUUUAAAGACCUCUCUCCCCUCCAGCAAAGGGAAUACUUUGACCAGCUUGGUUUGAGCGAUGAGAUCAUUUCCAUCAAGAAACUGGAAGAGCUUGACGAGUGGUACAAUAUGAAAACGCUUCGGGACACAGAGGUAAAAUUCCGCUGGCUCCGUCUCUGCAUCAGGGCGCAGUGGGAGGCAAAAAUUGGAGAGGCUAUUGAGUUUGCCACCAUUCAAGGCAGGAUGAAGUUUGUCAGACCACUUUUUAGGUCAAUGUAUGAUUGGCCCGCUGCUAGGGACAGGGCCGUGGAAGCUUUCAAGGCGCACCGUGGUGAAUAUAUGUAUAUCACCGCACAUCAAGUUGCUCUCGACCUACAGUUGGAUUCUUAAGAAAACUAUUUAAAAGAUUUUUUAGUCAAUUUGCAUUAAAGAAAACUAAAAUAUAGAAUUUCAGGUCAUUUUUGUAAAAAAUAAUUAUUUGGUAUAAGGGUUUCUUACAACAUUAAUGCCAAUGAAUAUAGUCAUUAUUGUUAUUUACGCGCCAUAGACGUUCGACGACGCAAGCACCAUCUAGUGCUUGGUCUGGUUGUAAUUGGCCU